rnacentral:rRNA from 1 species
GAUGAACGCUAGCGAUAGGCUUAACACAUGCAAGUCGAGGGGCAGCAUGGUCUUAGCUUGCUAAGACUGAUGGCGACCGGCGCACGGGUGCGUAACGCGUAUGCAACUUGCCUCACAGAGGGGGAUAACCCGUCGAAAGACGGACUAAUACCGCGUACACUCUAUUUUGGGCAUCCAAGGUAGAGGAAAUGAAAUUCGCUGUGAGAUAGGCAUGCGUCCCAUUAGCUAGUUGGUGAGGUAACGGCUCACCAAGGCGACGAUGGGUAGGGGAACUGAGAGGUUGAACCCCCACACUGGUACUGAGACACGGACCAGACUCCUACGGGAGGCAGCAGUGAGGAAUAUUGGUCAAUGGGCGAGAGCCUGAACCAGCCAAGUCGCGUGAAGGAUGACUGUCUUAUGGAUUGUAAACUUCUUUUGUAGGGGAAUAAAGAGGGGCACGUGUGCCCCAGUGAAUGUACCCUACGAAUAAGCAUCGGCUAACUCCGUG